UCACAUCGAACUCCCGCUCAUCAGGGAUUUGAUAUCAAGCAAGCUGAAUCAGCUUCCAUCUCGCCACCGCCUGGGUUUCAUAGAGAAGUUGUCACAUUUUGAUACGGAGGUUGGUAAGGCGUGUUCAGUUAUUAAACAGACUCUUCAGCAGAUUGUUGAGAAACAAUACAACCUAUCUGAUGUUUUCGGCGAGUUAAUUGAUGAGGUCCUCCGUGCUGAGUCGGGGGAUAAUGAAGAUGGUUAUGAUGUGCAGAAAACAACUUCAAAAUCAGAUGAUAUUCUUCCCCAGACAGCAGAAGGAUGUACGUGUCCGGCCCCCCCAACUGUACCCGAUAUGUCUACUCCAGUUUCCCAGCAGGAUACGCAGUUUACAGACACACAGGGUAAACAUGGUGACGGUGGCAAGAACAUGCCGACCAACACAAAUGUCACUCCUAAAGCAACACCACAUAUGGAACCUGACGCGCCGAUAUUUGAUGCGACUCCGCAAAUCAAGUCUACUGGCGGCGUCCAACAAGCGGCAGAAACAGACCUGCUCGACAGUGGUCCAUGCUUUGAUCAGACUCCAUCUGAACAUGUUUCUGUCGAAACCGAUCCAGCUACAAACACUCCUCAGGUUGACCAGGUUUCACUUGAUUCGGAGAUGCAAACUGUGUUAGCUCUACGCGAAUAUUUGUGUGGUACACAAUCUGACACCAGCAGUGUCUCGACAAUGUGUUCAUGCAGUGCUUCAUCCAGUGUGUUGAUGAUGAUGCCAAAAAUCAGCAACCCUCCAUGAGUUCGAACAGAUUAAUUCUUGUUGUUAAUGUUGGGUCACUACUCAACUUUGAGGAACAGGAACGACACAGUCGGAACCCUCAACCUUUUGAUGAAUCUGUACUGCACACACUUCUAGACAAUGCAUUGCCCGAGACAGAUGAAAUGGAUAAAUGCAAAGCGAUCAUGGUUCCCAUGGUAAGCAGGGGGCACUGGACAUUGUAUGUUGUAAAUACAGUGAAGAAGUGCAUUCACAUUUUAGAUUCCAAUCCAUAUGGGGCAACACUUGGUGGUACUACAUGGAAGGACUAUCAUUUUGCCGGAUUGGACUUAGGGGGUAGAAAUGUACCAUGGGCUAAGGUUAUUAUGAGUAGAUUAAACAAAUCCAUACAACAUGUACGGCCCAGGACAUGCUUUCCCAAAUUUGGCAACUUCACAAUUGGUUUGUGCCCAAAUUGUCCUAACAUGGCAGCAGGAUCCAAUGAUUGUGGGAUUUAUGUUAUGGGAUACAUUCUCUUUUAUGACUGCGUCGAAGGAUCUCUGCGGUCAGACAUAGAAGCAGGCAACACUAGUGAGAUACGGUCUCUUGCGCUGCAUUAUAUCACAUUCCACCCGAAGAACAAAGCAUUAUCGCUGCUCGAAGACAUCCAAAGAUUCAAGGUCUAAUGGAUGUAGCUUAGUUUGGACAUGUAAUAAAUUUUGUAUACAAUGGUUCCCUAAACUUCAGAUCAGUCAUGUGUGUAUAAUAUGGGCAAAGACCGUAGACGUUUCUUAGUUUAUGUCAAUGACAACUUUGGGGAUCAGCUAACCUCUAAACUGGAAUAUUGUACCAAAUGUGUUUGAUACUAAUGUGUGUUUCUUGCAUUUGAUUCUGCCAAA